rnacentral:rRNA from 1 species
UACGUAGGGGGCUAGCGUUGUCCGGAAUCAUUGGGCGUAAAGAGCGUGUAGGCGGCCCGGUAAGUCCGCUGUAAAAGUCAAAGGCUCAACCUUUGAAUGUCAGUGGAUACUGCCGGGCUAGAGUCCGGAAGAGGCGAGUGGAACUCCUGGUGUAGCGGUGGAAUGCGCAGAUAUCAGGAAGGACACCAACGGCGAAGGCAGCUCGCUGGGACGGUACUGACGCUGAGACGCGAAAGCGUGGGGAGCAAACAGG